AUGCCUACCAAAAGCAUCACCAAGGGUUGCUUCCCCAAACUACAAAGUAAUGUAUUCAAGGUAUUUCUUGCCAUUUCAGUAGCAUCAGCAACGGCUGCUUCAUAUGGUUUCCUCUUGCAGUCUACUAAUAGCAUAAACAUGAUAAGUGUUCUUCUAAUAAAUAAUUUCACACCUUUUGGCACGUGUUCGAGCAAAAAACAAGUAAUACCAACACAUAAAAUAGAAAGGGCUGACAAGAGAAAUCAGGUACCUCAUUCUGGUGCACCUUCCUCCUUGACCACAGGAGCAAACAACAGCAUUGUGUUUUCAAGUUCACGCAUAUCCUGCCAACAACAAGAACUCGCACAGAAAGCUGGUAUUACAUUGGUUCACUAG
rnacentral:rRNA from 1 species